UUUGAGAGUUUGAUCCUGGCUCAGGAUGAACGCUGGCGGAGUGCCUUAGGCAUGCAAGUGGAAUGUCGAUAAUCCCGCAAGGGAUGAUCGGCAUCGCAGACGGGUGAGUACAGCGUAGGAAUUUGCCCAAUGGUGGGGAAUAACUCGCCGAAAGGCGGGCUAAUACCGCAUAAGAUCGCAAGAUGAAAGGCCGUAACUGGCCGCCGAUGGAGAAGCCUACGUCCUAUCAGCUAGUUGGUGGGGUAAAAGCCUACCAAGGCUAUGACGGGUAGCUGGACUGAGAGGUUGGUCAGCCACAAUAGCACUGAGACACGGGCUAUACAUCUACGGAUGGCAGCAACCGGGAAUAUUGCGCAAUGGACGAAAGUCUGACGCAGCGACUCCGCGUGAGGGAUGACGGCCUUCGGGUCUUAAACCUCUUUUGUCCCGCUAUACGGCGGGGAGAAUAAGCACCUGCUAACCACGUGCCAGCAGCCGCGGUAAUACGUGGGGUGCAAGCGUUAUCCGGAUUUACUGGGCGUAAAGAGUUCGUAGGCGUUUUGCCAAGUUUUGUUUGAAAGACCGAGGCUCAACUUCGGAAACGGACGAAAUACUGGCAGAAUCGAGUUAGUUAGGGGGUACUGGAACUAUCAGUGUAGCAGUGAAAUGCGUUGAUAUUGACAGGAACACCAAGGGCGAAGGCAGGUACCUGGGACUUAACUGACGCUGAGGAACGAAAGCUAGGGGAGCGAAACGGAUUAGAGACCCGUGUAGUCCUAGCCGUAAACUAUGUACGCUUGAUCCUUGAUUUCCGCCUUUGGCGGAGCUGGGGGUUGGAGCUAACGCGUGAAGCGUACCGCCUGGGGAGUACGACCGCAAGGUUAAAACUCAAAGGAAUUGACGGGGAAGUGCACAACCAGGGGAGCAUGUGGUUCAAUUCGAUACGAAGCGAAGGACCUUACCCAGACUUGACAUCUCGAAGUUCUACUUUGCAGAAAUGCGAAGGAGUCCGUAAGGAGAUCGAGACAGCUGCUGCAUGGCUGUCGUCAGCUCGUGCCGUGGGGUGUCGACUUAAGUGUCGAAACGAGCGCAACCCUUAUCGCAUGUUACAAUGGGGAGUAACAACGGGUUGCCAAGCCGCAAGGCGGAGCUAAUCCCAUCAAACCUCCCCCCAGUUCAGAUUGAGGGCUGCAACUCGCCCUCAUGAAGACGGACUUGGUAGUAAUCGCGGAUCAGCAGGCCGCGGUGAAUACGUUCUCACUUCUUGUACACACCGCCCAUCAAGCCAGCAAAGUCGGCAAUACCUGAAACUCUGGGUUUCCCGGGGCAAGGGUAGGGUCGGCGAUGAGGGCUAAGUUGUAAAUCGGGGAGCACCUUGAACAAGGUAUCCCUAGCCGAAGCUGGGGAUGGAUCACCUCCUU
rnacentral:rRNA from 1 species